CUCAAAAUAUAAAUUAACACCAUGUAUUUUCACCUUAAGAAAUGCUGGUUGACUGGGUGUUGUUUUUAAUUAUAAGAAAUACUUUCUACGCCAGGCACAGUGGCUCAUGCCUGUAAUCCCAGCACUUUGGGAGGCUGAGGCGGGUGGAUCACUUGAGGUCAGGAGUUUGAGACCAGCCUGGCCAACAUGGUGAAACCCCAUCUCUACUACACAAAUAAACAAACAAACAAAAAACACACACAGAUUAGCUGGGCAUGGUGGCGCAUGCCUGUAGUCCCAGUUGCCUGGGAGGCUGAGGUUGCAGUGAGCCAAGAUUAGGCUAUUGGACUCCAGCCUAGGCAACAGAGUGAGAUCCUGUCUCAGAAACAAAAACAAAAGAACAAACAAACAUUAGCCAGGCAUGGUGGCAGGCACCUGUAAUGCCAGCUACUCAGGAGGCUGAGGCAGAAGAAUCACUUGAACCUGGGAGGUGGAGGUUGCAGUGAGCUGAGAUUGUGCCACUGCAUGCCAGCCUGGGCGACAGAGUAAUACUUUGUCUGAAAAAAUAAAAAUAAAAUAAAACAUAAAAAAGCUAUCUUUUAGAUACGUAUUAAGAUAUUAUACAUGAAGUGAUAUGAUAGCUGGAACGUGCUUUAAAAUAACUCAAGGGGUUGGGUACAAAUGAAACGAGACUGAUCAUAACUGUGAGAGCUAAGCCCAGAGUACAUGACCUAGUUGUUCUAUUUCUAUGUUUUUUGUUAGAAAACAAAUUGAAAAUACAACCCUGGGAAGAAAUUAUGUAGUCAAGUAACUAUACUAUCAAAAUGAAUUAGACAUUUGAAGCAAUUAUCUAUAAAACUGUAGUAAAAAUUGCCCUGAAUCAAGUGAUUCAGCCAAAGGAAAGUCUGUUGAUUAUAUUGCACUCCCCCCCCCGCUUCUUUUUUUUCAAACAAUCAGCUUUCUAUUGCUACUUUUACUGUAGGCCUGACUCUCAAUACAGAAACUUCAAAAUGGGCGCCUAUUCAAUCAGAAUUUGAAAUUUCUAUUUUAUCCUGCCUCGUGAAUUAAUGAGCACAAGUUCUUUAUAGGAUUCCAGCUAAUAGAUGCAGAAGGAAUGACAAGAUAUCACUGGUUGGCAACCUCUAAUGGAAUCCCAGAUGUGGGCAAAUAUCAUUAAUGAUGGCUAAAUCCAUCAGGGGAAAAGCUGAUAGAGAACUUUUGUAAUGAAUGGAGUGGGCUGGCAGCAUCCAAACCCACUAUCAAUCUUAAUGUUACAAGAUGAGAGCCAUUAUGUGCCAUGAUGUGAUACAACAUGGAGCAUAUAUCACCUAUGAAUUAUUUUUGUGAAAAAGCAAAACAGAACAACAGAAGCCCUCUAGAUCUGUCAGUUUAUAGAACAUAUAGGGGACAGAAAAGGUGUACAUGAUCCCAUUAGGAUACAUUCAGUAAAAUCCACUGAAGGACAAUUCUAUAGGACAAACAACUUAGUUUCUUCAAAAAUUAAAAACAGGAAAGUUAAAUCUAUAGAUUAUAUUAACAAAAUGCAAGAUCUAGAUCUUGCCUGGAUCUUGACUCGAAUAAACCAACUGUUAAAAAAAACUUACGAGACAAUCAGGAAGUUUGAAUAUUGACUGGUACUUGGCAUCAAAAAAUGUUUUAGCAGUCUUACACAAUGGUAUUGUGGUUAUGUUCAAAAAAGUACCCUAUCUUUGGAGUUAUAUUUGAAUGUCUCUGAUCACACAGACAUGAAAAUACUAUGCCUGUUAAUGGGACUCAAACUGAUCCCUGUGGGUUGGGGCAGGGGAUAGGUGGGGAUGCAGGUAAACAAGACUGACCACAGGACAGCUGUUGGAGGAUGGGUACACAGAGCUUCAUUCUGCUAUUCUUUUUGUGCAUUUGUGAAAAUUUCCAUAAUAAAAUGUUUUUAAAAAUGAGUUUGGAUAGCAUUAUACUAUAAAAUAUUUUAAAAUUUCCUUCUUUAAUGAAGACUUGCAAGCAGAAAAAUAUAAUUUUCUAAGGGUCAAUUAACUAGUACAUUAACUCAAGUAACAGUUACUUAGCGCAGGGCAUGGUGGCUUAUGCCUAUAAUCCCAGUACUUUGGGAGGCCAAGGUGGGAGGAUGGCUUGAGCCAGGAGUUCAAUACCAACCUGGGCAACAUAGGGAGACCUCUGUCUCUUACAUAAAUAAAAAAAAUUAGCCAGGUAUGGUGGCAUGUGCCUGUGGUCCCAGCUAUUUGCAGGGCUGAGGUAAGAGGAUUGCUUGGGCCUGAGAGGUGGAGGCUGCAGUGAGCCAGGAUCAUGCCACUGCACUUCAACCUGGGCAAAAGAGCAAGAGCCUGUCUCAAAACAAACAAAAAAGUUUCUUAGAAACUGAUAAAUAAAUAUAAUUUUUAAAAGAUUGUACAAAUUACUGUUAUUGCAUGACUAAGAGACUACUAAAAGUUGGGAUUUUUUUUUUUGAGACAGAGUCACACUCUGUCACCUAGGCUGGAGUGUAGUGGCGUGAUCUUGGCUCACUGCAACCUCUGCCUCCUGGGUUCAAGUGAUUUUUUGUGCCCCAGUGCCCCAAGUAGUUGGGACAACAUGUGUGUACCAUGCCUGGCUAAUUUCUGUAUUUUUAGUAGAGACUUUUUUUUGUUUGUUUUGAGAGGGAGUCUUGCUCAGUCGCCAAGCUGGAGUGCAGUGGCGCCAUCUUGGCUCACUGCAAGCUCCGCCUCCCGGGUUCACGUCAUUCUCAUGCCUCAGCCUCCUGAGUAGCUGGGACUACAGGCGCGUGCCACCACACCCGGCUAAUUUUUUGUAUUUUUUUAAAUAGAGACGGGGUUUCACCAUGUUAGCCAGGAUGGUCUCGAUUUCCUGACCUCGUGAUUCACCCACCUUGGCCUCCCAAAGUGCUGGGAUUACAGGCGUGAGCCACCGCGCCUGGCCGAGACGGCGUUUUACCAUGUUGGCCAGGCUGGUCUCAAACUCCUGACCUCAAGUGUUCCACCAGCCUCGGUCUCCCGAAGUGUUGGGAUUACAGGCGUAAACCACAAUGCCAGGCCAAAAAUUGGGAUUUUAAACCAAAAGGAGAAACCUUUGAUAAACUGAACAUCAAUUCCAGGUAAAACUAGGCUCUGGAGUCAGCCAGAUCUAGGUUUGAAUCCUAGCUCUGUCAUUUUCUAUCUACCAGUUCAAUGUUUUUUGGCAUAGCACACAAUUUCUGUGACCCUUAGGCUCCACAUCUAUAAUGUGGCAGCAACAACUUUCUUGGUCAGUAGAGCACUCUGCAAAGGGCCUGGCACAUGGUAAGUGCUUGGUGUAGAAUUCAAAUAAUUCCACUACCAUUUCAGUCAUAAAUGCAUACUUUUCUAUAAUCUAACAUCUCUCAAAUUGGGAUGUCUCAUAAUUGAUGGCAUAUCAUGAUUUAAUUGGCAGGUUUUUUCCUUAGUCGUUUGUAAAAAAUGGUGCUACAGAUCAAUAGCAUCUAAGAGUCAAUAUACCAUGGUAUCAAUCAUUGUAAAGAUAUAUUCCCAAUUUCUGUUCUAAGGUUACUCUGAAUAACCAAUCUGAGAUUUAAAAUAUUUAAAGUCUGAGUAAAAUAUUUCUAAUACAUCAUGAACAGAACAGUUUUGAGACAAAUUAAUUUUGUAAAAAAUGGUUUAUCAAUUCCAUUUUUGUAUAAAACACACGGGAGAAACCUAGCCAAUCAACACACAACUGUCACCACAUGAAAAGGUACUUUUAUCAAACUUCGAGUCUAAGAACAUACAAAUGUUUCUUUUAUCAUGUCUACAGUAAUUGUCUAUGCUUUUCCAUUUAACUGUUGUUAAAAAUUCCACAUAUCCCCAUUAUUUCUUCUGUCCCAGUUACAGUACAAUGACGGGGAGGAAGAGGGUUGGUUAAAGCAUCCCUCUAAGCAGUUUUCUGCUGUCCCUUCUUUCCAAUCAGAGAUUUGUGGAUGUGAGGGAUCACACCUAGAAUGAAAUUUAAAAAAGUUAUUAAAAACUUUUAAAGUUUUUGCCUCAAGUAAAAAGUUAAUUAUAGAAAAAAUGAAAUUUACUUAAGUCCCUUUUCAUAUUCUGAUACUGUUAAACUAUCUAUACCAAUGGCUACACCCCAGGGGUCUGUGAACCCUUUAAAACUGUAUGUAAAAUUGUGUGACUUUCCGUGCAUUUUUUGAGAAGAGUAACCAUAGCUUUUUUUUUUUUUUUUUUUUGAGAUGGCCUCACUUUGUCGCCAAUGCUGGGGUGCAGUGGUGUAAUCUUGGCUCACUGCGACCUCUGUCCUGGGUUCAAGUGAUUCUCCUACCUCAGCCUCCUGAGUAGC
rnacentral:lncRNA from 1 species